CCAAAUCCAUAUAAUACUGAGCAUGUCCAGAAAAUCUACAGGGAGCUAGCUAGCUAGCUAUGGGUAAAAUGAAACAUAAUUAAUCUAUUCCUUCUAUGAGCUAAGAAUUAUCAGUUUUUGAGUUUAAUUAACUAUUAAUUUCUAUCACUUAUGAAUCUUCAAGAUCACUAGUGUAACAUCAAACAUGUAUAGAUCUAAUACUUGAAAGUUGUUAUACUUUAAAUUGCCAUCUAUUUCAACCAAGGAAUAAGGAUCAUCGAAUUAAUUACUAAUAGAUGUAGAAGAUGGUAAGAUCGCAAAUUAAGAUUAAGUUUAUCUACAACCCAGUAAUUAAUUUAAGAUAGAAGCUAGAAAACCCUAAUUACUUGAUCGAAGAUCAGGCAUACCUGAUUAGAUCAUGAUCAUUGAUAGAUCUAUCUAGCUUCUUUAUAUAUAUAUAUAUAUAUAUAUAUAUAUAUAUAUAUAUAUAUAUAUAUAUAUAUGUUGUGUGGGUGCAGCAGGUGAUCUGGUUUGAGGUACCUUGUGGGAAUAAUAAUAGUAAUGAUGGCUGUGAAGAAAAUAAUAAGGUGAUGGCUGGUGAAGCAACCAGGUAUCAUGAUUAUCACUAGCUAGCUCUUCGCUUCUGCCUUUGAAACACAAUGAUUUCAGUGCACUAGUCUAGUACGUAUCUCUCUCUCUCUCGUCAGAGGGUUUCUUGGUUCUCUGAUGAGAGAGAGAGAAGAUUUAGUGGAAAGUAUUAUUACUAGCUACUCCAUCAUCAAACUCAAGACUCCUUUAC
rnacentral:lncRNA from 1 species